UCCGGUUUAUCACCGGCAGUCUCUGCAGAGUCCUCGGCUUUACCCGUUAGCAACAGCAGAUAAGGGUUGCGCUCGUUGCGGGACUUAACCCAACAUCUCACGACACGAGCUGACGACAGCCAUGCAGCACCUGUGCUAGAGUCCCGAAGGAGCCCCAUGUUUCCACGGGUUUACCCUGCAUGUCAAGCCCUGGUAAGGUUCUUCGCGUUGCGUCGAAUUAAGCCACAUGCUCCGCCGCUUGUGCGGGCCCCCGUCAAUUUCUUUGAGUUUUAACCUUGCGGCCGUACUCCCCAGGCGGAGAACUUAACGCGUUAGCUGCGCCACCGAGACGCCAAGCGCCCCGACAGCUAGUUCUCAUCGUUUACGGCGUGGACUAC
rnacentral:misc_RNA from 1 species